GAAAAGCAGAAGUAGAGCCUUCUGCACAACCAACAAAAAAGUAGCAAGUGGUUUCUGGAUGGCAAGUCAACAGCAAAACACUUGUCUUUUCAGGCAGAGCAUGUCUGGGUAAAACAGAGAGUCUUCUGUCAGAGGCUUCCUCUAAUUUGUUGUAACACAGACUGCUACAAAAGAUCUUUCCUGCCUACAAUAACUCUUUGAAAAAUUUGAAUUAGUCUGAGUUACAACAACAUUUAAUUUCCCUUCGAGAUCAAUAUUUUUAAAUUUGCAUUUGAAUGCAUAUAAAACCAGCUGACCAAACAUUCCGGAACUUUGCUGGGGUUGCUAGGCAACGGGGAAAUGCCUGCUGAUUUAUGAAGUUGCAUUCAGAAGGCUUUCAAAAAACAGCUCAUUUUCCAGACACUAAAAAAUAUUCACUUAUUGCGUAAAUGCAGCUGCUUUUUUUUUUUUUUUUUUUUUUUAAGUGCUGUGACUGUUUUUAGAAGCAGUAGGGAUCCAAAUGGAAGAGGCUUUGAACAAUACGUCCCCGUUAAGAUUGAGGCUGGUCUCCCCGCUGCAGUUAAGGACAAGUGUGCUGCCAACCAACACUUUGACACGAUCUGAAUAAAAUUUUAACUUACAGAAUCUACGUGGGAUGUAGGAGGACUGGAACUGGAUCCCACCGACCUCAGUGCUACAGGUCAGGAGACAAGCGUUGGGUUGGGACAAGAGGCAGAGGAUGAGAAGGAAGUAAGGAGGCCAGGAAGGAAGGAAGGAACAAUGUCAUAGUCGUAAUAAAAACAGGAAGUUUGUACAAUCUGUGCCAUUAGAUUCUGAUGUGAUAAACUUUAGAUGAAAUAAUGAAUGGAUAUCGUUAAAUGUUUUAUACCUGCCA